rnacentral:rRNA from 1 species
AUUGAACGCUGGCGGCAUGCCUUACACAUGCAAGUCGAACGGCAGCACGGGUGCUUGCACCUGGUGGCGAGUGGCGCACGGGUGAGAAAUACAUCGGAACAUGUCCUGUAGGGGGGGAUAGCCCGGCGAAAGCCGGAUUUAUACCGCAUACGAUCUACGGAUGAAAGCGGGGGACCUUCGGGCCUCGCGCUAUAGGGAUGGCCGAUGGCUGAUUAGCUAGUUGGUGGGGUAAAGGCCUACCAAGGCGACGAUCAGUAGCUGGUCUGAGAGGAUGACCAGCCACACUGGGACUGAGACACGGCCCAGACUCCUACGGGAGGCAGCAGUGGGGAAUUUUGGACAAUGGGCGAAAGCCUGAUCCAGCAAUGCCGCGUGUGUGAAGAAGGCCUUCGGGUUGUAAAGCACUUUUGUCCGGAAAGAAGUCCUUGGACCUAAUACGGUCGGGGGAUGACGGUACCGGAAGAAUAAGCACCGGCUAACUACGUG